GUGAUCUUAUGUUAGAAAGCAAUUAUUCUGAGUAUAUGCAAGUACGUAUAUAAGUAUAUUUUGCGCGUUUGAUAUCCCGGUCGUUGUCCAGUUGUGCCGUUGGCUUGGUGAAUUCUAUCGGAUAUUUAUACUUAAUUGUUUGGUGUUUUAUUUUCGAAAGCUAUCAUUUGGUUCGGGUUCAGUGUUCCUGUAUCGUUAACUAGUAUGUUUUAUAUGUAUACAUUAACAAAUAUCUUAUUUACGAACGAAGUAGGUAAUUACACCGAACUGUAAACUCAGCCUAACAGGCAGCAUAUAAUCGGUUAUCGGCUUGACUGUGAUUUCCCCCUCUAGUCCCCUUUUCUGUUUUUUUUUCUUUUCAAAGGCUCUUUGGCCCGAUCGAAGCAAACAGAGCGGUGUCUGACAGUGGCUUUUUUAUCGCAGUGCCCACAUUUAAAUGCCUGCCCUAAAUCCACUCCACUUCCCUUUACGUAAACUGUGUCCCCCCAGCCAGUCACAAAGAGGUAGACAUUAUUACGUUAGGUUUUUAAAGGCAGAAUGAGCAGGUUUCGUGCCAAUAGAAAGUAAUUUAGUAUUAAGUGUAGUUCAAUUUCAUUGAAGGCAAGGGAACUUUCCAUGGCACGUUUAAUACACUGGGUAAACUUAAAGUUGAAACUUCACUGACAAAUUAUUUACAGUGCAGAUCACCUACAUCAUGUCUGGCAAUACGAGUAAUUUAGUGCUGCCAAACCUAGUCCAUACAUGCGAAAUUAAAUUAUAUUGGGUGCAUGUCUAAGUCUGAAUCUGGUCCAUAUCUCACCCUAUCAUUAUGCUAGUUAUUAUUUUGCAUAUCAACCUAGGAACCUUCACCCACGAAGGAUGAUGAACGGCUCUCGGAAAGGAUUAGAGCUACUAUAGAUACGGCUCCCCACAAAAAGCUGUGACUCCCAUCACUAUCUCAUCCCGAAUUGUACAUUUUAUGAAAUUCAAAAACAAUUAAGCUAACAGCAAAGCGGAUACGUAAGCAGCCAAUCAGGGGGAAGUACACAUUCACCUCAUCUUUGUGACGUAACCAUUAAAAUGGGAAAUGGAACAUCGUCUCGCGACAGUCGCCAUGUUUAUGUAAUGAGGAAAAGCUGGUGAAAACAAGCAUUUUUUAAACAUAUAUGUUUUCAGCGGACUGUGUUAAAUGCCUGCUUAAGACUUAACUUGUUUGUUUUAAUAAGCAUGAAUUUCACGGUAAUUUGAACGGUUAUUUGAAAUAAUGCCACUGGACAACUUAUGUCCCAUAACAGAAUUCAUGAACCUUUUUGUUUUUGCCUAUUCAGAGUUAACUUGUUCUCAUCGGAGUUCACAUCCAUAGGAAUUCAAACGCGGAUUUUUCAGCAUGCAAAACUCGUUUCUGACUGAAAAAUCUCGUCUGUAUUCUGUCAUUAUAGUUUUGAGGGAAUUAAAUCAUGCUUUUUUUUCUCUGUCGAAUUGACUAAUAAAAAACAAAUAAACUGACACAGCCGAUCGAGGGAACAAAACACUGGAUCACUGCUACGAUGUAUUCCUAUAAGCCUAUAUUGUGUGUUUCCCCAACCACCGCUCGUUCGGUCGCUGCGACCAUUCCGUGUUGCGCCUUAAACAGGUGCCGUGCCCGAUUCGGCGGAGCGCGCACAUCUCUGCAGUGAAAUGCGUCCCCUGUCGGGAGCGCGCACAUCCCUAUACUGAAAUGCGUCCAUUUAAACGUACUACAGAAACAGGAAGUUGUCUUUGCACAUUUUAAAUAAGUAUAUCAAUCUGAUAAACUAUGCCAUUGAAUGUCAACGAUGAGCCUUGAACUAGAUCAUUUUAUUUAUUUACUAGUCUAAACUAGUACUAUUCUCAGUACUUUACUAAUCGAUGAACAAGGAAGACCUUUGUUUUAUUCACCAGCACGAAGAAAAUGACACUCUAUGAUUUCUUAUACGCAUUUAGUAGCCUCAUUUAUUUUUCCCCAUAAUUAAGACGAUUUUCUAUUGCAAUGUUCUGAAAGAGCGAAACAAAAACAUGUUUUUAAGACGGACGGAACUAUUUCUCCCCCUUCGAACCGAAAAAAGAGCUUUGCGCGCUCCCGACAAGGGAUGCAUUUCACGCCUGGGAUGCCGAAUCGGACACGGCACCUGUGUAUAAACCAAACCUUAAAACCAGCAAGUCCAGCUCACUAACAAUGAAGUCCUGUACCGGGCGAGGUAUUGAAACUCUGACUGUGACAUUUUUCGCGAGAUCGCGCUUGAGUGAGGAGCUCGUCGAUGUCAUCAUUCAUAAACUUCUCUUUACAGCCAAUAUUGGUAAAUGUAUAAUAACAAAAAAGCACGAAAUAAAUAGGCUGAAUAUAAACUACAUACGGUCAUAAGGAAAGCAAAACCAGUGAGUGCUUAUGAGAUAUACUGCAAGUCCAGAUCAGACAAUCAUAUACCAUAACAUGUAGAAAAGCUUAUAGCAUCUAUCUACGUAUUCACCAGUAUCAGCCAUUCCCCUCCCUCCCCCAUCACAGAGGAAGUGGUGAGAACUGCCUUCAAAAAUAAAAAUACAGCGGCACCUUCCAGUUGGUUUCGGUGUGUGCCUCUUUCUCAGUGUCUGUACAGCCAGUCCCACGAGGCCUCACAGUGGCUAUGAUAUUCCCAGAACUGGAAUCCUCCAAACCAAACUGUCAUUACGGAUCUAUUGCCCUAACAUGGGUCUUUAUGAAGGCAUUUUGUCCUGGCCCUCCUCAGAUCUUGCACUUCCAUAGCUCACUAAAAUGGAAUCGCAGCGCACCUCAUCAAGAUGUUCAUAAGAGGCUGUUUCCGUGGUACGUCAGCCAACACCGAGUUCAAAGCUAGACAGCCAUUAUAUAAUCUAAUAUAAGGCGCUUGAUGUAUGCUACUGCAGCACAGCCCCCCCAAAAAGGAAACGACCGCAGCCCGAUGUAACAGUGACCUCUGAGAAAAACAAAGUACAGCCAGAUUGGCCAAUAGGAUGACGAUGGGCCCUAUUGCACUCUCUCCAUCAGCCAUGUCUGUAGAGAUCAUUCACAUCCAAAACCUCAGCAUUUCAGAGUAGCUUCUUGUCUAAUUCUGUGAGGCUACUCACCUACCAAUGUGCCACUCUUCCUUCUGUAAUUACGAGGUAUUUCAUUUGCACUGUCUAUGUGUACAUUCACAUAGCACUUAAUUUCAUGCACACUAUUUAGUUUUACAUCCCAAAACCCUUUGUUGAAUCACGAUGCCCCUUAUCAGGAAUCAGCAGUGACGUCACUGUCACGGCAUCCACACACCAUAGUACUGACAGCAUGGACAGCUAGGUUAUGUUUCCAGGGGAACAUCCCUAUCAUCAAGGAGCCCUGUUAAGCUCACUAUGGUAACACUCAUCUUUAUUUAUUCAUGUGUUUGCUUAUUACUCAUUUUCUCACAAUUACUGUAUAAAUUGUCAUGAUAACAAUUCAGACAUAUUUUAGAGAUUUUCUGUUUAUUGUUUACUAUUUGUAAAUGUUAUUGGCCAUGUGCUUAAGAAAUACUGCAGUUUGCUAACUGAAGCAAAAGUAAGGGCUCAUAUUUUAGGAACGCAUAACUAGUCAGUGAAAUACAGAAUUGUUUUGUGUGUCUUAUCUACAAUGUUGAAAUAAGCGUAGGUUAGUAAUGUCGCUACAGUCAUAUUUUAUCACUCACCAAUGUACCAAUGUGACACUGUUAUUUCCUUAGCUUUAAGUUGAAUUUCCAUCCAUUCAUCUAUCCAUCCAUCCACCCUCCCAUGCUCAUCCAGGUCUGGGCUGCAGGGGCAGCAGUGUAAGCAGUGAUGCCCAGACCUCCCUCUCCCCAGCCACUUCCAGGAGGGACAUCCAGGUGUUCCCAGGCCAGCCGAGAGAUUUAACUUCUCCAGCAUGUCCAGGGUCUGCUCCAGGGUCUCCUCCUGGUUGGAUAUGCCCGAAACAUCUCCCCAGGGAGGUGUCCAGGAGGCAUCCUAGAUAGAUGCCCAAAUCACCUCAACUGGCUCCUUUCAAUGCAGAGGAGCAGCUGCUCUACUUUAAGCUCCUCCCCAAUGUCCGAGCUCCUCACCCCAUCACCAAGGUUGACCCCAGACAGCCUGUGAAGGAAACUCAUCACCUCCACUUGUAUCUGCGAUCUCAUUACCCGAAGUCUGUGACCAUAGGUGAAGAUAGGAACAUAGAUCGAUCACUGAAUCAAAAGCUUCACCAUCUGCUUCCACUCUCUCGUCACCACGACAGAAUGAUACAAUGUAUAUCUGCCGCCGCUGUACCGAUCCGCCUGUCGAUCUCUCACUCCAUUUUUUGCUCACUCAUAAAUAAGAUCUCAAGAUACUUAAACCCCUGCACUUGACACAGCUACUCUUCCUCAGCCUGGUGGGUGCAAUCCGUGCUUUUCCAGUUCAUUAUAUAUUUCAUUUUUAGAACACUGCUAUUUUCAAGAAUUCCCAGCUGUGUCAGCAUGCAGCUGAUUAGAGUGCGCAAGGCACUGCACGUGUUGGUGAGCACUUGUUAACUCGCUUCUAUCUCCUUCUAUUCUGAGAACAGCUCAUGCGUGCAUGCGGACCGCUGUGCCUUUGACCACGGCUGCUGGGUGACAUGAACCCGCCUGGCAUUCUUCCGUUAUGAGCACGGCUCCUUUCUCCUGUGGCGGGUGCCCAGCUUCUCCCUGAUUCGACCCCACCCCAUUGUACUGAAACUCCCCCUGGGAGCCUGGGACCCUGCCGUCUAGCCGUCCUCCUGUAGUGAGGACAGUCAUUGGUAUUUGAAUGAUCCCUGAUGGACAGCUUGUGUGUAUUUUCAGGAACACCCAUUUACUUUAUUGAUACUGCUUAUUCUAUAGUGAGAAUCCUUACAGUUUCACAGUCAUGAGUGUUAAGUUCCUCCUGGCUCGGUCUGGAAGGUCUUGUAUGAUCUGUUUGUUUGUUGUUUUUUUCUGAGCUGGUUUUACCCCUAGAAUGUUACAGUACUUUGGUGAAUAGGCUGUAAUUUCUGUCUCUCUCUCUCCUGUCCUGUUUUAGAUGUAUUCCAUGUCACAAACGUUAUAUAGCAGAUAUUGUUAGUCCAGAUCACUGCUAUUCUGAAUGGAUUUUUUUCAUUCUGUUUCAGUUGGUUGGAGUAGAUGGUGGUGCACGGAUGAAUGGAGGACAGUGUUGAAUUCUCUUUGAUGUUCCUCUGUUUGUGGGUCCACCUCCACCUGUUCUUUUUCUCCAGCUCUCCGGAUUGGUGAUUCCUUAUAUCAUCAGCCUCAUGACCAACAUCAUGUCCUACAGCAGAAGAUGCUGCUUCUACUGAAGAGACACCUAUGGAACACCUGAAUACUGAUGCCCCCAGAAUCACCCGCAUCUCCUGACACAAAGCACAUCAGCCUGGUGACACAAGACAUAGACCAGCAGCCUUGAGAAAAAACCACAAACAACAAUGGCAUUUGUAGUUGAAUCGGGUUACAGAAAAUGACCUAAUGAUCCCAGUGAUGGUGAAAUUAUUCAAAAAUAAUCCCUGCUUUGGCAGCUCAGCCUGAUAGAACUAUUAAUAGACAUCAUUUAACUUUUUCAAAAUAUUAAAAUUUAGAACCAAUACAUAUGGGGCAUUAAUGUGACUCUUUUUGUAAAGAGCUCUGUGUAAAUUAAUGUGUGAAUUAUAUGCAAAUCUAUAUUAGUAGAUAUAACAUAUUUCUGGAAAUGGACAGUUCACCCUGAAUUUGAAACCAUAUUCAAAACAGUGCACAGAACAGAGCAGUUAUCAGAUAUUUUAAGGUUGUUCCUCGUUCAGUCUCUUGAGGGCAGUGUUGUACAACAUAUCAACCCUGGCAAUAGUUCAUUCAUUUUACUGUUGAUGAUUUGUAAUGUUCGGGAACAGUUGCUCAAACUGCUUUAUUUUCUAAUUGUUACAUUUGUUCAGGUAUGUUUUGGGGGUAUAUGGUGAGUUUUCACUGAUGAAAGUGUUUCCACAAGAUGUAAAUAUUUCACCUGUUUACAUUUUUGACUUUUGAGUUACGUGUCGCGCAUAUUAAAUAAACCCGCUCAGCAAAGACUGAACAAGCGAAUGCCUUCAUCACGCUCUGCAUUAGACAGAUUCCCUCAGAGCUCAGCAGCAUUUCCACUGGAGUAAAUUUGGCACC